UUGUCAUGUCGCUAUCUGGGUGAUAAUCCAAGAUUCAGGUAGGAUUGAGUGGCUCUAGCUACUGAGGUGAUAAUCUCAAUCAAAGACAUUUUCAAGACGUUGACAGUAACCAUAUCAGAGUAAAUGAUUUUGCUUUAAAACAGAAGGCGUACAGGUAUACGUGUCGCAAGCUCUGCAGUCUGCGAUCUACAUCGUACAUCAUUGAUAUCAUCACUGAUUCCGACAUAAUUAUCAGUUAUAUAAAUUAUUGAUGGCAAACUGUGAUGCGCCUCGUUAAUCGAAGAAUCAAAUCAUUAUGAAUGUUAAGAUAUAAGCGCAUACCGUGGGACAAAGGCGAUUCAAUAAGAACAGGAAUUUGUAUAAAAAAGGCUCUCCAUCAGUCUCAAUAUAAUUGCCACAAUAUAUUUACAUGGGGAAAUAAUAACUGUACAAUUGAAUCGAAUACAUCGGAACUACAAACGAAUCUGUAUAUUAAUGCAACUCCCGGAGAACGAAAGAGUAAUCGUUAUCUCCUCAGAGUUUCGUUCUUUAUUAGAAUGAUAUAUUUACAUGUAUGGGGGGAAUAUGGAUUUUUCUGAUUUUUUUGUUAUGAUUGAACUUACUCUAAAACCGACGAAAAAUUUUUUGUGAAGUUAUUCGUAUUUUUUCAUUUACUCGAUAAAAAUUGUAUAUUUGUCUUUUGCUACUGUAUGUUCAUAUAUUUUUACACCUUACGCUCUAUAUCUGAUCGGUUAAUUUGAUUAGUAUAUCUCCUAGCUUUAUCUCAACAAUAUCACGACGGCUCAUCUGAGCCACUUUGAAUCUCCACGUCAAUCCCAACGAGGAUAUUAUCUUCACAAUAUUAUGAAUCCAAUGAUCAGCAGAUAUAAUUGGGAUAUGUACACUUUGAUUGUAAUAAUAUCAUCGACCACAUCUUGUGAUAGGUGCGUGGAGAUCUACGGUGUCAACAUACGCAGUUCAGC
rnacentral:misc_RNA from 1 species